CCUACGGGGGGCAGCAGUGAGGAAUAUUGGUCAAUGGACGAGAGUCUGAACCAGCCAAGUAGCGUGAAGGAUGACUGCCCUCUGGGUUGUAAACUUCUUUUAUAUGGGAAUACAACAGGGUAUGCAUACCCUCUUGUAUGUACCAUAUGAAUAAGGAUCGGCUAACUCCGGGCCAGCAGCCGCGGUACUACGGAGGAUCCGAGCGUUACCCGGAUUUAAUGGGUUUAAAGGGAGCGUAGGUGGAUUGUUAAGUCAGUUGUGAAAGUUUGCGGCUCAACCGUAAAAUUGCAGUUGAAACUGGCAAACUUGAGUACAGUAGAGGUGAGCGGAAUUCGAGGUGAAGCGGUGAAAUGCUUAGAUAUCUCGAAGAACUCCGAUUGCGAAGGCAGCUCACUGGACUGCAACUGACACUGAUGCUCGAAAGUGUGGGUAUCAAACAGGAUUAGAUACCCUUGUAGUC
rnacentral:rRNA from 1 species